AACGAACGCUGGCGGCAGGCUUAACACAUGCAAGUCGAGCGCCCCGCAAGGGGAGCGGCAGACGGGUGAGUACCGCGUGGGAACGUACCCUUUGGUUCGUAACAACUCCGGGAAACUGGAGCUAGUACCGGAUAAGCCCUAACGCGGAAAGAUUUAUCGCCGAAGGUUCGGCCCGAGUCUGAUUAGCUAGUUGGUGAGGUAACGGCUCACCAAGGCGACGAUCAGUAGCUGGUCAGAGAGGAUGAGCAGCCACACUGGGACUGAGACACGGCCCAGAAUACUACGGGAGGGAGGAGUGGGGAAUAUAGGAAAAUGGGGGGAAGGAUGAUCCAGCCAUGACGGGUGAGUGAUGAAGGCUUGAGGGAUGGAAAGCAAUUUUGUCCGGGAAGAUAAUGACUUUACCGGAAGAAUAAGCCCCGGCUAACUUCGUG
rnacentral:rRNA from 1 species